GACGAACGCUGGCGGCGUGCUUAACACAUGCAAGUCGAACGGAAAGGCCCUGCUUUUGUGGGGUGCUCGAGUGGCGAACGGGUGAGUAACACGUGAGUAACCUGCCCUUGACUUUGGGAUAACUUCAGGAAACUGGGGCUAAUACCGGAUAGGAGCUCCUGCUGCAUGGUGGGGGUUGGAAAGUUUCGGCGGUUGGGGAUGGACUCGCGGCUUAUCAGCUUGUUGGUGGGGUAGUGGCUUACCAAGGCUUUGACGGGUAGCCGGCCUGAGAGGGUGACCGGCCACAGUGGGACUGAGAUACGGCCCAGACUCCUACGGGAGGCAGCAGUGGGGAAUAUUGCACAAUGAGCGGAAGCCUGAUGCAGCAACGCCGCGUGCGGGAUGACGGCCUUCGGGUUGUAAACCGCUUUCGCCUGUGACGAAGCGUGAGUGACGGUAAUGGGUAAAGAAGCACCGGCUAACUAC
rnacentral:rRNA from 1 species